rnacentral:rRNA from 1 species
UCCGCACAAGCGGUGGAGCAUGUGGUUUAAUUCGAUGAUACGCGAGGAACCUUACCUGGGCUAGAAUGCGAUUGACCCUCUUCAGAGAUGGAGAUUUUUUCGGACAUGAAGCAAGGUGCUGCAUGGCUGUCGUCAGCUCGUGCCGUGAGAUGUUGGGUUAAGUCCCGCAACGAGCGCAACCCUUGUCUUUAGUUGCCAGCGCGUAAUGGCGGGGACUCUAAAGAGACUGCCGGCGAUAAGCCGGAGGAAGGUGGGGAUGACGCCAUGUCCUCAUGGCCCUUAUGCCCUGGGCUGCACACGUGCUACAAUGGCCGGUACAGCGGGUCGUGAAACCGUGAGGUGGAACCAAUCCCUAAAAGCCGGUCUCAGUUGGGAUUGUAGUCUGCAACUCGACUACAUGAACGUGGAAUCGCUAGUAAUCGCGGAUCAGCAGGUCGCGGUGAAUACGUUCCCGGGCCUUGUACACACCGCCCGUCACACCACGAAAGUCGGUGGCAUUCGAAGCCGGUGAGCUAACCCUUUUGGGAGGCAGCUGUCGAAAAUGAAACCGAUGAUUGGGGUGAAGUCGUAACAAGGUAACC